GUUCAUCCCUGGGACACUCCUUAGAAUGCAGUCAUCAUGCAAUUCGAAACCCAGGUCACAUGGCAAGCUUCCAGCUUACAGCCUGCAACCUGAAGCCCAGCUGAAUUUACACAUGGCAAAACUGCCCAGCUGAUACCUGUAAACCUACAGAUUCAUGCGAGGGUUAUGCUCUUUCACAUUCCCCAACCCCUAGAAAAAGGUGAAAGGAGAAAAACAGAGCAAUAGGGCAGAAACAUCAACAGCAAGAAGAGGAAAAGCAAGCAUAGCUGGAGAAUGGGAAGCACCCUCUCUAAUACUUUCUAGUAACUGUGCUAAUACCAUAAAUGUCCCCUGGGAUCAUGAAGUAUGUGAGUGGAGGAGGAUUUUUACUUUGGGAAUAAGUUGAGAAGAUUGUGUUUUAUGUAAAACGAUGUGGAGAAAGAUUUUUAUUAUAUAGCAAGAUUAUCAUAUCCUUUUCCUGAUUUGUUAUUUUUACCAAGUAGCAAAUGGGCCUUCUUGAUUUAAUUGUGGGUUUUAACUUGGGAGUGAAGUUUAUGUGUUUAUAUGUUUCUAUAUAUUUAUCACCUUUGUCAUCUAUAUAGAUCUGUAUCUCGUGAACUUUAAAAGUAGGUAGCCCCAUUUAUAUCUUUGAAUCUGCAUUUGACUCCAUUUAGGAACGAAUGAAAAGAAACUCUGGAUAUUCAUGUAAUGCAUGCAUUGCCCAGGUGAGAAAAAAGGACCGACUAUUAUAACUUCUUUUCUUCAAUUGCGAAAAUUGACCCUGCUCCAUGUUUAGCACCAGGAUGCCAUAAUUAUAACCUCCCUGUGCCUCAAUGAUAAGAUAGAAAACAGCCCAAUACUCUCUUUCCUAUGGCAUUAGUCUCCUAAGAUAUAAUAAUUUGCUUAAAUUUAGAUGGCUAUCAAUUAAAUAAGAUUUUUCAUCAAGUUAAACUUUAAUAUAUAGGGCUUUGUGUUUCUACUCUUACUUUCCAUGAAGCAAUAUCUUUCCUCAAGGAAUAUAAUCUUGAAGCAGUUAUACUUGUAUCUUCAACUUAAAGCUGGGGGCUGUAAAUAUCUAUCAACAAAAAAGGGAGCCAUUUUCUUUUGAUUUAUAGAAUGCGACAAUUAUUGGCAGUCCCAUUAACGCAUAACCACUAAUUCCAAUUUAAGGAAUGCCUGCAUAAUGGUAGCUUUAAAAAUAUUUGCAGAUCAUGAUAGUCAGUUCUUUAAAAUAAAAACAAUAUAUAAUUGCUUUUACUAGAGAAAUGGUCCCAGCAUAUGUCCAUCGUUUGAUUGCAAGACUCAUAAACCAUAAAUAUUACUUAUAAGAAAGACACAGCAACAGUUGGGCUUACCACUAAAAUGGUGGUUCUCUUUCAAGAUUUUUAGUUCCUCUGUAACAUGAAGACAAUGGGAAAUAAAUUUGUAUUAACAAUUAACAGUAAAUACAUCCUUAGCGUCUACAAUGGGCUCAGACCUAGGCCAGUUCUCCAGGACACACAAUGGAAGCGUUAAGCAUAAUGCCAUUCUUAAAGAAAUUGUAACCCACUGAGGAACGAGACUACUAUCAUUCAGUGAGUACUUUCUGUAUCCCAGGCACUUUGCCAGGCACAUGAUUAUUUUAAGAGUCAGAAAUUCUAGGUACAAAUCCAGGCUCUUUCUAUAAAUAACUGUGUCACCUUUGACUAAAUCACCUGGUCUUUCUGGAAUUAAUUCCUCCGUAUGUCAAAAGCAUUCAAUAAAUAAUCAGUAAAUCUCUCGGCCUUGAUGAGUCUAUAAUUUCACAUUGUGACUAAAAUAAUUUGGAAGUUCUAAAGACUCUGGUAGUAAGGAUUAGAAUGUUCCAGAAAGGGUUCACAGUGCAUAAGAAUGUGAGUUUGAUGUUGAAGGAUGUAUCUAAACUCUUGAACAGUCAGAGGAAAGUUCUAAGAUAUUCAAAUUAUGAAGU
rnacentral:lncRNA from 1 species